GAUGAAGAACGCAGCGAAAUGCGAUAAGUAAUGUGAAUUGCAGAAUUCAGUGAAUCAUCGAAUCUUUGAACGCACAUUGCGCCCCCUGGUAUUCCGGGGGGCAUGCCUGUUCGAGCGUCAUUUCACCACUCAAGCCUCGCUUGGCAUUGGGCAACGCGGUCCGCCGCGUGCCUCAAAUCGACCGGCUGGGUCUUCUGUCCCCUAAGCGUUGUGGAAACUAUUCGCUAAAGGGUGCUCGGGAGGCUACGCCGUAAAACAAACCCAUUUCUAAGGUUGACCUCGGAUCAGGUAGGGAUACCCGCUGAACUUAAGCAUAUCAAUAAGCGGAGGA
rnacentral:misc_RNA from 1 species